UAUUUAAUAGAUCUACCUAAGACUCAGGUGGCCGAAUGGUCUUAAUUUCCUGCCGAGGCAGAAGUUUACUUAAACUUUUGACUCCUUAUGUCUUGGUGGCAUAGGGAUUUUUUUAU
rnacentral:sRNA from 1 species